GACGAACGCUGGCGGCGUGCCUAAUACAUGCAAGUAGAACGCUGAGGUUUGGUGUUUACACUAGACUGAUGAGUUGCGAACGGGUGAGUAACGCGUAGGUAACCUGCCUCAUAGCGGGGGAUAACUAUUGGAAACGAUAGCUAAUACCGCAUAAGAGUAAUUAACACAUGUUAGUUAUUUAAAAGGAGCAAUUGCUUCACUGUGAGAUGGACCUGCGUUGUAUUAGCUAGUUGGUGAGGUAAAGGCUCACCAAGGCGACGAUACAUAGCCGACCUGAGAGGGUGAUCGGCCACACUGGGACUGAGACACGGCCCAGACUCCUACGGGAGGCAGCAGUAGGGAAUCUUCGGCAAUGGACGGAAGUCUGACCGAGCAACGCCGCGUGAGUGAAGAAGGUUUUCGGAUCGUAAAGCUCUGUUGUUAGAGAAGAACGUUGGUAGGAGUGGAAAAUGUACCAAGCAUGACGGUAACUAAUCCAGAAAGGCAGGUCGA
rnacentral:rRNA from 1 species